UACGUAGGGUCCGAGCGUUGUCCGGAAUUAUUGGGCGUAAAGGGCUCGUAGGCGGUUUGUCGCGUCGGGAGUGAAAACACGGGGCUUAACCCCGUGCCUGCUUCCGAUACGGGCAGACUAGAGGUAUGCAGGGGAGAACGGAAUUCCUGGUGUAGCGGUGAAAUGCGCAGAUAUCAGGAGGAACACCGAUGGCGAAGGCAGGUCUCUGGGCAUUACCUGACGCUGAGGAGCGAAAGUGUGGGGAGCGAACAGG
rnacentral:rRNA from 1 species